GGGGCAUAAUAAUGACAAACGAAACACUUCAAAGUAUAAUAAGUGAACCGAAUAAUAAACACAAGCUGUAUGUCAUUUUUGAUGUAGCAUGCAUUCCAUUUUUAUCCAAAGCAUAAUAUGAACUCAUAAACAAAGCUUUGGAUAUCAUAUCAAUAAAUAUAGAGGGCGCUGUGGGACCACAUACAUAAUGUGAUUCAUC
rnacentral:lncRNA from 1 species